GGGCGGCUAGCUCAGUUGGUUAGAGCGCCACGCUCACAUUGUGGAGGUCGCAGGUUCGACUCCUGCGCCGCCCACCA
rnacentral:tRNA from 1 species